GGAUGUGAGGGCAAUCUGGCUGGACAUCUGUCACCCUACUGAUGGCCAGAAUUGAUUCAGCUGAUCUGGUUGGCUAGGCAGGAGUCAUCCUCCCUUACUGCUCCAAAAGCUUCUCUCUCAAAGAUGCGCAGUCUGUUGAAGAGGACGAACUUCCCCAAUAGAGGAGGACUGUUCUUCGGUCAAGGGUGUAGAGUAGCUUUGCUCCCUUUCCAGAAUCCCCAAACAAGCUCUCAAAAAAUAGAUUAAGCAAAGAGAGAUACAUUUUGAGAAAUCUAUAACUUAGGGGAUUUUCUAA
ensembl:misc_RNA 7SK 7SK RNA